rnacentral:rRNA from 1 species
UACGUAGGUGGCAAGCGUUGUCCGGAUUUACUGGGCGUAAAGAGCGCGCAGGCGGUCGUUCAAGUCGCGUGUGAAAGCCCCCGGCUCAACUGGGGAGGGUCACGCGAUACUGAUCGACUCGAAGGCAGGAGAGGGAAGUGGAAUUCCCGGUGUAGUGGUGAAAUGCGUAGAUAUCUGGAGGAAUACCGGUGGCGAAGGCGGCAUCCUGGACCGGCAUUGACGCUGAUGAGCGAAAGCUAGGGGAGCAAACGGG